rnacentral:rRNA from 1 species
AACGAACGCUGGCGGCAGGCUUAACACAUGCAAGUCGAACGCCCCGCAAGGGGAGUGGCAGACGGGUGAGUAACGCGUGGGAAUCUACCCAGAUCUUCGGAACAACUGAGGGAAACUUCAGCUAAUACCGGAUACGCCCUACGGGGGAAAGAUUUAUCGGUUCUGGAUGAGCCCGCGUUGGAUUAGCUGGUUGGUGGGGUAAUGGCCUACCAAGGCGACGAUCCAUAGCUGGUCUGAGAGGAUGAUCAGCCACACUGGGACUGAGACACGGCCCAGACUCCUACGGGAGGCAGCAGUGGGGAAUAUUGGACAAUGGGCGAAAGCCUGAUCCAGCCAUGCCGCGUGAGUGAUGAAGGCCUUAGGGUUGUAAAGCUCUUUCAGUACGGAAGAUAAUGACGGUACCUACAGAAGAAGCCCCGGCUAACUUCGUGCCAGCAGCCGCCGUAA